rnacentral:rRNA from 1 species
CCAGCAGCUGCGGUAAUUCCAGCUCUAAUAGCAUAUAUUAAAGUUGUUGCAGUUAAAAAGCUCGUAGUCGGAUUUUGGGCGCGUGUGGGCUGUCGGCCUCUGGUCGGACGGCAUGCGCGUGCCUUUCUGCUUGGGAGCCCCAUGGCGGUUCACGCCGUCGUGGUGGGUCACAGGCCGUUUACUUUGAAAAAAUUAGAGUGUUCAAAGCAGGCUAUUGCUUGAAUAGAUUAGCAUGGAAUAAUGGAAUAGGACCUUGGUGCUAUUUCGUUGGUUAUGGGACUGGGGUAAUGAUUAAUAGGGACAGUUGGGGCCGUUCAUAUUUCGUUGUCAGAGGUGAAAUUCUUGGAUUUACGAACGAUGAACUUGUGCGAAAGCAUUCGGCAAGGAUGUUUUCAUUGAUCAAGAACGAAAGU